rnacentral:rRNA from 1 species
GACGAAGGAUGCAAGCGUUAUCCGGAUUCAUUGGGUUUAAAGGGUGCGUAGGCGGCCAGAUAAGUCAGUGGUGAAAUCCUGUUGCUUAAACAACAGAACUGCCAUUGAUACUGUUUGGCUUGAGUAUAGUGCUGUGGGCGGAAUAUGACAUGUAGUGGUGAAAUACAUAGAGAUGUCAUAGAACACCGAUUGCGAAGGCAGCUCACAAAAACUAUAACUGACGCUGAGGCACGAAAGUGCGGGGAUCAAACAGG